GGGCAGGCGCCGGAGGCUGGUGAGCCGGGCCGGUCUGUAAAAUCGGUGCCGAAAGGCUGUGUGGGUCCGAAUCCCUCCCUGCCCA
rnacentral:tRNA from 1 species